GGUUAAGCGACUAAGCGUACACGGUGGAUGCCCUGGCAGUCAGAGGCGAUGAAGGACGUGCUAAUCUGCGAUAAGCGCCGGUAAGGUGAUAUGAACCGUUAUAACCGGCGAUUUCCGAAUGGGGAAACCCAGUGUGAUUCGUCACACUAUCAUUAACUGAAUCCAUAGGUUAAUGAGGCGAACCGGGGGAACUGAAACAUCUAAGUACCCCGAGGAAAAGAAAUCAACCGAGAUUCCCCCAGUAGCGGCGAGCGAACGGGGAGGAGCCCAGAGCCUGAAUCAGCAUGUGUGUUAGUGGAAGCGUCUGGAAAGGCGCGCGAUACAGGGUGACAGCCCCGUACACAAAAGCGCAUGUGCUGUGAGCUCGAUGAGUAGGGCGGGACACGUGGUAUCCUGUCUGAAUAUGGGGGGACCAUCCUCCAAGGCUAAAUACUCCUGACUGACCGAUAGUGAACCAGUACCGUGAGGGAAAGGCGAAAAGAACCCCGGCGAGGGGAGUGAAAAAGAACCUGAAACCGUGUACGUACAAGCAGUGGGAGCACCCUUCGGGGUGUGACUGCGUACCUUUUGUAUAAUGGGUCAGCGACUUAUAUUCUGUAGCAAGGUUAACCGUAUAGGGGAGCCGUAGGGAAACCGAGUCUUAACCGGGCGUUAAGUUGCAGGGUAUAGACCCGAAACCCGGUGAUCUAGCCAUGGGCAGGUUGAAGGUUGGGUAACACUAACUGGAGGACCGAACCGACUAAUGUUGAAAAAUUAGCGGAUGACCUGUGGCUGGGGGUGAAAGGCCAAUCAAACCGGGAGAUAGCUGGUUCUCCCCGAAAGCUAUUUAGGUAGCGCCUCGUGAAUUCAUCUCCGGGGGUAGAGCACUGUUUCGGCUAGGGGGCCAUCCCGGCUUACCAACCCGAUGCAAACUGCGAAUACCGGAGAAUGUUAUCACGGGAGACACACGGCGGGUGCUAACGUCCGUCGUGAAGAGGGAAACAACCCAGACCGCCAGCUAAGGUCCCAAAGUCAUGGUUAAGUGGGAAACGAUGUGGGAAGGCCCAGACAGCCAGGAUGUUGGCUUAGAAGCAGCCAUCAUUUAAAGAAAGCGUAAUAGCUCACUGGUCGAGUCGGCCUGCGCGGAAGAUGUAACGGGGCUAAACCAUGCACCGAAGCUGCGGCAGCGAACGUAUCACCCAAGACAACUUUACGGAGUUGACGAUUGACGGAGCGAAGCGACGUCAAAGCGUUCAUUAAAGUCGAGUUGGCUUAGGGAUACGUUCGUUGGGUAGGGGAGCGUUCUGUAAGCCUGUGAAGGUGUGUCGUGAGGCAUGCUGGAGGUAUCAGAAGUGCGAAUGCUGACAUAAGUAACGAUAAAGCGGGUGAAAAGCCCGCUCGCCGGAAGACCAAGGGUUCCUGUCCAACGUUAAUCGGGGCAGGGUGAGUCGACCCCUAAGGCGAGGCCGAAAGGCGUAGUCGAUGGGAAACGGGUUAAUAUUCCCGUACUUGGUGUUACUGCGAAGGGGGGACGGAGAAGGCUAUGUUGGCCGGGCGACGGUUGUCCCGGUUUAAGCGUGUAGGUGUGUGUUCCAGGUAAAUCCGGUUCACUUUAACACUGAGGCGUGACGACGAGGCACUACGGUGCUGAAGCAACAAAUGCCCUGCUUCCAGGAAAAGCCUCUAAGCAUCAGGUAACACGAAAUCGUACCCCAAACCGACACAGGUGGUCAGGUAGAGAAUACCAAGGCGCUUGAGAGAACUCGGGUGAAGGAACUAGGCAAAAUGGUGCCGUAACUUCGGGAGAAGGCACGCUGACACGUAGGUGAAGUGAUUUACUCAUGGAGCUGAAGUCAGUCGAAGAUACCAGCUGGCUGCAACUGUUUAUUAAAAACACAGCACUGUGCAAACACGAAAGUGGACGUAUACGGUGUGACGCCUGCCCGGUGCCGGAAGGUUAAUUGAUGGGGUCAGCGCAAGCGAAGCUCCUGAUCGAAGCCCCGGUAAACGGCGGCCGUAACUAUAACGGUCCUAAGGUAGCGAAAUUCCUUGUCGGGUAAGUUCCGACCUGCACGAAUGGCGUAAUGAUGGCCAGGCUGUCUCCACCCGAGACUCAGUGAAAUUGAACUCGCUGUGAAGAUGCAGUGUACCCGCGGCAAGACGGAAAGACCCCGUGAACCUUUACUAUAGCUUGACACUGAACAUUGAGCCUUGAUGUGUAGGAUAGGUGGGAGGCUUUGAAGUGUGGACGCCAGUCUGCAUGGAGCCGACCUUGAAAUACCACCCUUUAAUGUUUGAUGUUCUAACGUGGACCCGUAAUCCGGGUUGCGGACAGUGUCUGGUGGGUAGUUUGACUGGGGCGGUCUCCUCCUAAAGAGUAACGGAGGAGCACGAAGGUUGGCUAAUCCUGGUCGGACAUCAGGAGGUUAGUGCAAUGGCAUAAGCCAGCUUGACUGCGAGCGUGACGGCGCGAGCAGGUGCGAAAGCAGGUCAUAGUGAUCCGGUGGUUCUGAAUGGAAGGGCCAUCGCUCAACGGAUAAAAGGUACUCCGGGGAUAACAGGCUGAUACCGCCCAAGAGUUCAUAUCGACGGCGGUGUUUGGCACCUCGAUGUCGGCUCAUCACAUCCUGGGGCUGAAGUAGGUCCCAAGGGUAUGGCUGUUCGCCAUUUAAAGUGGUACGCGAGCUGGGUUUAGAACGUCGUGAGACAGUUCGGUCCCUAUCUGCCGUGGGCGCUGGAGAACUGAGGGGGGCUGCUCCUAGUACGAGAGGACCGGAGUGGACGCAUCACUGGUGUUCGGGUUGUCAUGCCAAUGGCACUGCCCGGUAGCUAAAUGCGGAAGAGAUAAGUGCUGAAAGCAUCUAAGCACGAAACUUGCCCCGAGAUGAGUUCUCCCUGAGACUUAGAGUCUCCUGAAGGAACGUUGAAGACGACGACGUUGAUAGGCCGGGUGUGUAAGCGCAGCGAUGCGUUGAGCUAACCGGUACUAAUGAACCGUGAGGCUUAACCUUAC
rnacentral:rRNA from 1 species